rnacentral:rRNA from 1 species
UAGGGAAAUCUUCCACAAUGGACGCAAGUCUGAUGGAGCAACGCCGCGUGAGUGAAGAAGGUCUUCGGAUCGUAAAACUCUGUUGUUAGAGAAGAACACGAGUGAGAGUAACUGUUCAUUCGAUGACGGUAUCUAACCAGCAAGUCACGGCUAACUACGUGCCAG